CACACACUUGACUUGUUAAAUAGGUAUGCAAAACUGCAGGAAUUAACCCCCAAUAUGGAUUUCGGGUGAUAGGAGUCAAGUGAGAUUAAUCCCACUGUUUUUGCUCUUUUUUAUAUUGUACGAGUUGUAUAUUUAUGAACAACUUCAUUUUGUGUUUUCACAUCUUUGCUAUCCCUUCUCUGUUGCAUUGAAUAAUCUAAAUACUAUUGUUAAAAUAAAAUUAAGACUAUUCUGUUGAAUUCAGCAGCAGGGAAUACCUGUUCAAGUUUUCAAAUCUUUCAUCUUUAGACAUGCCUGAGAUGUCUCUACACCUGGUAAGAUGUGUCAGACUUCCAGAGAUAGAACUCACAAAAAAAUUAUCUCUAUGAAACACAUAUCUCAACUCCACUUUUUGUUGCAGAUUUAAUGGCAAUACAAACAUUUUACUGCUAUAGAUGGGAUUUCAGCAACAAAUUAAUUCCUCUCUGAUCCUGAAAAUGUCUCUGUGUGUACUGAACUUCUUACCUGAUACUUUGUAAUGGACAUUCAGAAAUGGAGGUCCCCUGCCUCAGAUACUCUUGAUGCAAUAACUUGUUCUUUUAGAGGUCAAGUUUAGAGUGUAUUUAUGUUACACUGGAGAGUUGUAGGGUUAUACUUUUAUUUUUGUUAUUGUUAAUAAUAUUACUAUUAUUAUCAUUAUCAUUAACAUCGUUAUCAUCAGUAUUAUUUUGAUUUUAAAAAUUUAUAUAGUUUAUUAAAUUAUAUUUUUAUUGGACUGUAAACAUUCAGUGGGUGUUAUUCUGAUUGUAGUGCCUUCUUUUUAGUGAUCCUGUGAAGUGUAUACCUGACCUACACUACCAUAUCAGAUUUUUGGCACUUGCUCUUAAAUAACCUUAGCAGAUUGAAAGAUAAUCUAACAGGAAAUUGGCUAGGAUUGCAUGUACUCCAUGUACAGAAACACUAUAAUAUGCCUAGAUUUUUCUCCAAAAUUUUUCUGACUAUAUAUUCCGGGAAAUUUCAUACUACAUAUGUAAUAAAGAUCAUAAUGCAUUUUUCUUACUAGCUGUCAUAUAUGCAAUGUAGAGCUGGGAGGUCUAAAUAAACUAAUAGAAAUUUUAUAUUUUUUGGCAGAAAUUAUAGUGUACCCAGUGAUUUUUUUUUUUUUUUUAAAUUUUGAUGGCAUCGCAAUGGAAGCGCUAUUUGAAUUAAUUGUCUUCACAGCAAUUUUUUAGGUGAUUGGCCAGGCAGGAAACUCAUGGAACCAUUAAAUCUCAAAGACAAACCUUGGUGAAAAGAAACAUGAAAAAGAAGAAAGCCUAGCUGGAUCCAUCAUGAUUCAGUGAGCUGUAUAGUAUGAGGGGAAUUCAGACAAAACCCUGACAUCAGCUUUGUUCCCAGUGUUUUUUUCCACCCCAAGGAAUACCUCUUUAGGAAGAGAUUUAAGAAUUAAAUGUAAAGACAUAUAUUUUGGAUUUUUCAAGCACAGUAAACCUGACUCAGCAGAAGGCAGAUGUUUGAGCAUUGUACAGGAUCUCUCUCAAAAUACCAACUCAUCCUUAAAAUAUGUCAAUUCCUGACCACUUUCCCAAUAUGGUCAUACAAA